AGUUUAGGUACUGUGUGUCUGGUGCCAAACGACUUCUGUCCUUAUGUUUAUCACAUGCCAAAUUUUGUUCUGUGUAGGGUUCCUCUUACUCCUUCUUCUAUGGGCUACUCCCUUGGUACAGAUGCCCACACACUGCACAGUACCAGAAAACCUAAUACGAGUUUGUACAGUCUUGUCCCUGCUGGAUUCUCCCCUUGAAGGAACUUUUGCCACUAGGGAUGCGGUACCUGUUGUACAGUCAUUUUCACAAACAUGAUCUCUGAUACUAGACAUCCAGUAUGCAAGAUCUUAUUUUAGUUCCCCUGCAUGUAGUAGAGAGCUAUUUAUACUAGCUUAAUUUUGCAUGUGACACUUAAAGUAAUGGGAUAUAAAACAUUAGAGCUCUUUAAAUUCCCGUUCUUAGGCUGGCUCUCAUCUGUGCCAUUAGUGCAAGUAACAAAGUGCAGUCAUAGUGAGGAGAAAGAGCACAGGUAGCAGAGAAGCUGUUGGUUUGAGUAUCUUCUUCACGAGCUUCACAGAUGAAGUUAUUUUUUCUAUAAAACACUAGUCAAAAUGCACAUCUGCAGGCUUAGUUCUUUUCUAGUCUAUUUAGAAAAAGCUGAAAUUGGAAGGGAUUAAAAAAAGUAGCUACAGCCCUUCCAGGAAAGGUCAUCUAAGCAUAAGCAAAGCUUAAUUUGACAUGCUAUAGUUUCUUGAAGACAGCUGUGGGGUUUGAUUUCUUUUCUAGGUUAAAACCAUACCUUUUCUGUUGUAGAUUCACAUAGAUUUUUAUCUCCAAGAUACCUUCUGCACACUACUCUCCUGCCAUGUGUGUGACCUGUAAUACCUACUUUGCAUAAGCAAACUGACUGACGAGUUACGGUCCAUUUAUGCCUCAGUGCAGAAAAUUGUGGAUGCUUGGAUGCUGCCAUACUGUACAGCUUGAGUGGGAGUAUACUAGAUGCUAAGUAUACGUGAUGUGUUUUGUACUGUCAAGAAAAGGAGAGGGAGCAGUGCUUAAGAAGUACAUUGUUCUUAAUUCUAAAUGAAUAAAAACUUGUGGGGUUGACUUGGCAGUUAACUUACUGCUGCUGUCGUUGGCAGGUUACAGCUGUUGGAGGCAGUGGGAAAAAUGUGUUGGCAAAUGGAAUAGCCUCAUUUAUCUUUGACAAAAGAUAGUUUUGAUACUGUUCUGUACUCUGACAAAUGCAGGUUUGUUUGCAUAACCUUAUUUGAGCUCGGGGAGAUUAAGUAAUCAUAAAAGUAAAUUUCUUCUGUAUUGGAAUAGUGCUUUAAACUUAGGUUUAAAUACAGUAGUUUCUGUAUGAUAGAGAUGUCAUAAACCCAGCUUGUAAUGAAACUAUUUAAGGCUCCUAGAUUAGUUAGAAGUGUAACAACACCAACAAAAAGCCUUCUAUAUGAUUAUUUUCAACCUCCCAAAUUGCAGCCUGGAAAAGGCGAACUGCAUGACCAUGUGCAGCAGCAGUGGGAACAGCAGUUCAUCUUCCUGAGAUGGUGGCACCACUGUUGCCACUUCUAUACUUGUACUAUUGAUAAUUAACUGAAACUGCAACACAGAGUGCUUAAGGAGUUGAUUUCUUUAUACAAUUCCUGCAACGAUGAUCACUGUAUUUGGUCACAUCCUGCUAAGCUUUUCAACUGUGGUGAAUCUAUUAAAGGAAUCUUUCAAGCAUGCCAUUCCUGUUGUGACACUUUGUGGCCAUGGAAAACUGACGCUGUCAGGCCCUUUCACUUCUCCCUAGCUCUGUUUGCUGCUCAGGAUGGAAGCCUGAAUGCAAGCUGAAUUAGGUGCAGUCCCUUGAAACCACAGGCUUCUCUGUAGGAGAAACUGUCAAGGAGGAGUCCUCAGGACUUGCCCUUUGUAUUUCAUUUCCUACAAGCCUUAAAAUUCUCCAUCGCCUUAAAACAAUGUGUGACCAUUUGUACAAAAGAACUAAAUCACCAGAGCCUAGUGUGUGACAGGAAGACCACUGCCAUGUCUCCACUUCCUUCAGGAGCUAGGAAUGUACUUAUGGUGCAAUACAUCAUGACUUUUUUCACUAAAGAAACGCUACAGUUUAGAGUAUUAUUUCCAGGCCUUCUGUCUGGUUUCUGGACUUUUCUCCCUGUUUUUCCAAAAGUAUGUGUUAAUUUCUUUUAAACACAGUGGUUUUAACUGAGUUGAGAACGUUAUUUAGUAUAAUCGUUUUCUUAUGUCUUUGAGACAUUAGAAAGUGACUUUCUUUAGGGCUGGAUGACUUGUGAGUCCAAGGUAUGGUUUGCAGUUGGGAUUCUCUUUUUUUAUCUUCCUUCUUGAGAGCCUGCUUUGGUUUCUUAUGCAAAAACUUUAUAUUUCAUUUUUACUGUAGAUAUUGAGCCUGAAAAAAGUAUUUUCAGAGGCUCUAUAGAAAGGCAGAACACAGUGCAAUAAUCUCACGCACACUAGUGUAACUGUAUGCAUGUAUAAAGGAGUAGUGGAAGUACAAAGGGAAAAAGGAACUGAAUUGAAGGUGGUAGGAAUUGGUAAAUCUGUUGAAGUAGCACUGCAUAUGUGACCACUUUGCUUGUAAAUUAGUGCUGCUUUAACUUACAUUUAUUUUGGUCUGUGUGUGAAAAGAACCCAAAGAUGAGAAAGUCACAGAAGUAGUCAAUAUUUAGUCAAUAAAUGACUAAAAUACUGUGUUGGAUAUUGAAGAAAAAUUGCCUCCUUUGCUUCUGAAAUGUCAUCUGUGGGGUUAUGUCAGAUUACUGCAGUUGUUACAAAACUGUGUAUGUUUUCAAGACAAGUUUGUGAGGUGUUUUUUUUCCUUAUAAUGAAAAAGGAUCUAGUGUUCCAGCAAAAAUAA